rnacentral:rRNA from 1 species
UACGGGGGGGGCAAGCGUUGUUCGGAAUUACUGGGCGUAAAGGGUUCGUAGGUGGCCAACUAAGUCAGACGUGAAAUCCCUCAGCUUAACUGGGGAACUGCGUCUGAGACUGGAUGGCUUGAGUGCAGGAGAGGAACGCGGAAUUCCAGGUGUAGCGGUGAAAUGCGUAGAUAUCUGGAGGAACACCUGCGGCGAAGGCGGGUUGCUGGGCUGACACUGACGCUGAUGCGCGAAAGCUAGGGGAGCGAACGGG